rnacentral:rRNA from 1 species
CCCGUCACAUCACGAAAGUGGAUUGUACUAGAAGUUCGCACGCUGACCCGCAAGGGGAGCAGCGGCCCAAGGUAUGAUUCAUGAUUGGGGUG